rnacentral:rRNA from 1 species
UCAGAUUGAACGCGUGCGGCAUGCCUUACACAUGCAAGUCGAACGGCAGCACGGGCGAACCGUGGUGGCGAGUGGCGAACGGGUGAGUAAUGCAUCGGAACGUGCCAUUGAGUGGGGAGUAACGUAGCGAAAGUUGCGCUAAUACCGCAUAUUCUGUGAGCAGGAAAGCAGGGGACCGCAAGGCCUUGCGCUCUUUGAGCGGCCGAUGUCAGAUUAGCUAGUUGGUGAGGUAACGGCUUACCAAGGCGACGAUCUGUAGCGGGUCUGAGAGGAUGAUCCGCCACACUGGAACUGAGACACGGUCCAGACUCCUACGGGAGGCAGCAGUGGGGAAUUUUGGACAAUGGGCGCAAGCCUGAUCCAGCCAUGCCGCGUGAGUGAAGAAGGCCUUUGGGUUGUAAAGCUCUUUCGGCCGGGAAGAAAUCGCAUGGGUUAAUACCCUGUGUGGAUGACGGUACCGGAAUAAGAAGCACCGGCUAACUACGUG